CAGGCAGGAUCAAGUAUAUCAAGAAGAUACGUGAAUCAAGUUUUCUCUAACACACCACUUCAGGUGUUACACUAAUGUAAAAUCGUGUCCCCUCCUAUAUUACCUAUCCACGUGCAUCUCAACAUGACGGCCUUCUCUCCUACAUCGGCCGUUUUAUCUGUCCACCUUGUAAUCCAGAGGGAAGAUGCACGGAAAGUAAUGCCACUACUGGCCUGAUUUUCGAAGGUGCCGAGCAUUUGCAGUUCCCAUUGACCUCAGUGGAAGUUGUGGGUGCCCAGCAGUUCUAGAAAUCAGGCCAUAUAGGUGUCUGGUUUACCUGGAAGGCAGGUGUGUAUAAACCCAAAGCAGAGAGGCAAUAAAAGGAGAGUUAGUAUCAGUCACAAAAUUGUAGGUGUGCAGAGUUCUGUAACCUACAUACAAAAAUGGUGCCGCAGUUUGUGUUAUACACCACUGCAGCAUUACCCACCCACCUGCAUUAUUUUACAUUUCUUCCCAUUGAUUUAAUUCCCUUCAAGAUGAGUGCGACAGAAAAUUGCAGACUUCCAUAGUCUCAGCAUGAAAUUUUAUGAAUUUAGGAAGACAAGCUUUCAGGGCAGGGACUGUCUUUAUGUGUACGCACAAGUACGUAGUAGCACAAUGGGACUCUGAGCUUGGUUGGCGACUCUACCCUGCUGUAAUAUCAAAUAAUAACAUGUUUUAUCAGCUGUGAACAUUUCACAAAGCAAGAGCUGCCGCUUUCCCUAGAGCUUCCGAAUUGCAGCCAACCAAGAGAUGCCAAAUCGUUCUCUUUAACUUGAAGCAGACAAACCCAUAAUGCCAGGACACAGAGGACCCUCACUGCUCUGCCCUGCUGGCCUGAGAUGCGGAAUAAGGAACAUUCCUGUUGGAACAAAGCUCAGAAAGAAUUGUUGUAUCCCUACACUGAAGGAAAGGAUGUAUGUGAGAAAAUGCAUUGUUCUUAUAGUUGCAUGUGUGACGGCUAAUUAACAGCACUUAUUAACCUUUGAGAGGAAUACUCCUUUCCACACACACAUGUAUGUUAGCUCCCAUUGAUGGUCAUGCCAGUGUCUGUACUGUGUUGAGAGGCGCCUAACCCCUUUUUAUGGAGCUUUCUCCUGCAGUUUUCAUGUAGCCAAGUUGCCACCGCUCCAAACAAUACAGAAACCACAACCCACGGCAGUUUGCGUGU